UAGUCCCGUACACCAAAAUGCACAGGCUGUGAACUCGAAGAGUAGGGCGGGACACGUGGUAUCCUGUCUGAAUAUGGGGGGACCAUCCUCCAAGGCUAAAUACUCCUGACUGACCGAUAGUGAACCAGUACCGUGAGGGAAAGGCGAAAAGAACCCCGGCGAGGGGAGUGAAAAAGAACCUGAAACCGUGUACGUACAAGCAGUGGGAGCACCUUCGGGUGUGACUGCGUACCUUUUGUAUAAUGGGUCAGCGACUUAUAUUCUGUAGCAAGGUUAACCGUAUAGGGGAGCCGCAGGGAAACCGAGUCUUAACUGGGCGUUAAGUUGCAGGGUAUAGACCCGAAACCCGGUGAUCUAGCCAUGGGCAGGUUGAAGGUUGGGUAACACUAACUGGAGGACCGAACCGACUAAUGUUGAAAAAUUAGCGGAUGACUUGUGGCUGGGGGUGAAAGGCCAAUCAAACCGGGAGAUAGCUGGUUCUCCCCGAAAGCU
rnacentral:rRNA from 1 species